rnacentral:rRNA from 1 species
AUUGAACGCUGGCGGCAGGCCUAACACAUGCAAGUCGAGCGGAGCUGCGGACGGGUGAGUAAUGCCUAGGAAUCUGCCUGGCCGUGGGGGUUAACGUCCGGAACCGGUCGCUAAUACCGCAUACUAUCAUAUGAGCCUAGGUCGGAUUAGCUUGUUGGUGGGGUAAAGGACUACCAAGGCGACGCUCCGUAACUGUUCUGAGAGGAUGAUCAGUCACACUGGAACUGAGACGCGGUCCGGACUCCUACGGGAGGCAGCGGAGGAGAGAAUUGGACAAUGGGAGAAGGCGUGAUCCGGACAAGCCGAGUGGGUGAAGAAGGUCUUGGGAUUGUAGAGCACAAUAAGUUGGGAAGCGUUACCAAAAGAAUAAGCACCGGCUAACUUCGUGCCAGCAGCCGCGGUAAUUC